rnacentral:tRNA from 1 species
UCCUCGAUGGUCUAACGGUCAUGAUUUCCGCUUGUCAAGCUUAACCGGCUACGAGCGCGGGAGACCUGGGUUCGACUCCCAGUCGGGGAG